rfam:Callithrix jacchus chromosome 18, whole genome shotgun sequence
CCAAAGGCUCUUUUCAGAGCUACUCACCUGCCUCAGUGAAAGAAGCU